AGCUCCAAUAGCGUAUAUUAAAGUUGUUGCAGUUAAAAAGCUCGUAGUUGAACUUCUGUGUGUGCCCAGUUCUGGCUUCGGUCAAGCUGUGGUGCUCACAUCCGCUUGCAAACCUAGUCCGGCCUUCAUUGGUCGACUAGGGGAGUAGGCUUUUUACUUUGAAAAAAUUAGAGUGUUUCAAGCAGGCAAUGGCUCGAAUACAUUAGCAUGGAAUAAUGGAAUAGGACUUUUGUCCAUUUGGUUGGUUAUUGGACAUGAGUAAUGAUUAACAGGGACAGUUGGGGGCAUUAGUAUUUAAUUGUCAGAGGUGAAAUUCUUGGAUUUAUUAAAGACUAACUUAUGCGAAAGCAUUUGCCAAGGAUGUUUUCAUUA
rnacentral:rRNA from 1 species